rnacentral:rRNA from 1 species
AGUGAACGCUGGCGGCAGGCCUAACACAUGCAAGUCGAGCGGCAGCGCGGGGGCAACCCUGGCGGCGAGCGGCGGACGGGUGAGGAAUUCGUCGGAAUCUGCCUUUUUGUGGGGGAUAACGUAGGGAAACUUACGCUAAUACCGCAUACGUCCUACGGGAGAAAGUGGGGGACCGCAAGGCCUCACGCAGAAAGAUGAGCCGACGACCGAUUAGCUAGUUGGUGGGGUAAAGGCCCACCAAGGCGACGAUCGGUAGCUGGUCUGAGAGGAUGAUCAGCCACACUGGGACGGAGACACGGCCCAGACUCCUACGGGAGGCAGCAGUGGGGAAUAUUGGACAAUGGGCGCAAGCCUGAUCCAGCCAUGCCGCGUGUGUGAAGAAGGCCUUCGGGUUGUAAAGCACUUUUGUCCGGAAAGAAAUCCCUGGAGCUAAUACCUUCGGGGGAUGACGGUACCGGAAGAAUAAGCACCGGCUAACUUCGUG